CAAGACGUUCUGCGCGCGCUUGGCGCGCUUUUGUGCGUGUCGAGAGCGUAUAACAUAGGUGUUCUGUGGUAUAACGUGCGCGAUAUUCGUGCGAGCGCAGUUUGACUUGAGCAAUCGUGGGCUUGGACUCCGUGACAUUUGCUUUCGUCAUAUGCGAGUUAGGGGCUUGCCGACAGAGGCCUGUUACUCAAGCACAUAUUGCCAAAUGAAUCAACGGUGCUUCAGCAGGUUUUUGCAUCUUAAUUCGACCCGUCAGUCUCGCGAGGGUAGAAUUAAUGGAAGUUGAUUGUAUAAAUUGCGUGAUAAAGCACCAAGAAAGUUACCUUAAUCAGGUAGUGAAAAAAGCAUGGAAAGAGUGCUUCACACAACAUCCACCGAUGUUCUGUUGCAGAUGCAAAAGCUGCCUCCCUUAUCUGGAACAGAAUAAAUUCCUUUCGAAGGCAAAAUAAAAAACAGAAAGAGAAGUCAUCAAGGCAUUCCACAUCCAUCUUAUUCAGUCUUUACAGUGUUGCUACAUCACCAUUUGCUUAGCCUCCUAUGCCAAAAAAACUUGACGAAAAUAAAAUGACCUGAUUUCCAUGUUUUUCACCAUCCAA